rnacentral:rRNA from 1 species
GAUGUAACGCUAGGCGUACAGGCUUAACACAUGCAAGUCGAGGGGCAGUCAGGAAGAAAGCUUGCUUUCUUUGCUGGCGACCGGCGCACGGGUGAGUAACACGUAUCCAACCUGCCCUUUACUCGGGGAUAGCCUUUCGAAAGAAAGAUUAAUACCCGAUAGCAUAAUGAUUCCGCAUGGUUUCAUUAUUAAAGGAUUCCGGUAAAGGAUGGGGAUGCGUUCCAUUAGGUUGUUGGUGAGGUAACGGCCCACCAAGCCUUCGAUGGAUAGGGGUUCUGAGAGGAAGGUCCCCACAUUGGAACUGAGACACGGUCCAA